rnacentral:rRNA from 1 species
UUUAAUGAGAGUUUGAUCCCGGCUCAGAACGAACGCUGGCGGCGUGCCUAACACAUGCAAGUCGAACGGAGUCAUUUUGAAGUAGCAAUACGGAUGGAUGACUUAGUGGCGCACGGGUGAGUAACACGUAGGUAACCUGCCCUUAAGAGGGGGAAAACCCGCCGAAAGGCGAGCUAAUACCGCAUAAGACCACAAACUGAGAUGUUAGUGGUAAAAGUAGCAAUACGCUUAAGGAUGGGCCUGCGGCCUAUCAGGUAGUUGGUGAGGUAACGGCCCACCAAGCCUAAGACGGGUAGCCGGUCUGAGAGGACGGACGGCCACACUGGAACUGAGACACGGUCCAGACUCCUACGGGAGGCAGCAGUGGGGAAUUUUGCACAAUGGGGGAAACCCUGAUGCAGCGACGCCGCGUGGAGGAUGAAGGCCUUCGGGUUGUAAACUCCUUUUAUAGGGGAAAAUAAUGAUGGUACCCUAUGAAUAAGUCACGGCUAACUCUGUGCCAGCAGCCGCGGUAAGACAGAGGUGGCAAGCGUUGUUCGGAAUUACUGGGCUUAAAGGGCGCGUAGGCGGUAAGAUAAGUCUGUGGUGAAAUCCUAUGGCUUAACCAGAGAAUUGCCAUGGAAACUGUUUUUCUUGAGUCAGCGAUGGGAUGGUGGAAUUCCUGGUGUAGCAGUGAAAUGCGUAGAUAUCAGGAGGAAGGCCGGUGGCGAAGGCGGCCAUCUGGCGCUGAACUGACGCUGAGGCGCGAAAG